rnacentral:sRNA from 1 species
UAGUGCCAGUGUUAACUAGGGUGGUCGGCACACUCCCAAACUGAAAUGGGGUGAUGCCGGGUGACAGUUUUUGAAUCUCUAAUGUUUGCGAUAGGUUUUGCUGGCUUAAUCGUAACCAUGCUGUCAUUUAGCCGAAAAAAAUAGUCCUCCCUUGAGUUAAUGGCGCUCAGGUGGAUUAUCCCGCCAAUAAACCGACCUCCAUUGCGGGAACCGUUUAUUGCUGACCGGACAAUUUACCGCAUGUUCG